rnacentral:tRNA from 1 species
GGUCGUGGCUCAGUGGUAGAGCACUUGCCUUGCAUGUGUGAGGCACUGGGUUCAAUCCCUAGCACCA